GGUGUGGUUAUGCACAUGGGUGACAGAACUGGAGUAAAACUGAGGUCCUUGGCAGGAGGAGGCUUAAGAACUGCAAGGUCAGGCAUUUUGUGGAGCAGCCACAUGGACUCCGAGAUCACCCAGGCUGAUCCUGUGACUAAGGCCCAAACAGAAGUAAGCACUGACAGCACAAACUGAUCGAGGCGUGUGGAGGUUCAUGGUCAUUCUUGCCUGUAGAGCAUCCUAGAAAGGCACUGUGUCUUUGCAAGAAUACAGAAGAGCAGUGGAAUGCUGUGGGCCGGAGAAACUCAGGCAGCUGGCAGUUUGACUCUUAAGCACCAGCAUGGUAGACACCAGCCUCCCCUCUCAGUCCUGCGGGCCGUGAAGUGGUGAUAAUAACACACUCUGAGCAGCUGGAGAUUUCUCUGGAGCCAGACUACAGGGGAGACCAUGAAGAAGAAAAUACAGAUGAAACAGGAAGAGCUGAGAAUGCUCCCCUAUGGAGAUGAGCUAGCCCGUUUCCCCUGUCAGCUGGAAUAAGAGCGUGUUUCCAGGAUGCUGUAUACCGCCAUCAGAGCUUAUGACCCACCUGAUUGCAGUAUGAGUGCCUGCGGCUUCUUCCUUCCCCAUGGCCCCAGACAGUGGCCGGCAGGGAGGCUGUGGGCAAGAGAGAGAACACAUGGCUCAGAGCACAUGGGCAAAUACAGCGCAUAUGGUGGCUGAAUUACAAAGUCAUUGCUGGAGAAGUGGAAACAGUGUGAGGAAUUUGGAAAGGCUGCUGCAAGGUGUUGGCUCUUUUUAUUCCAGCCUCAGUGAUUGACCUGUCACCUGUCACCUGUCACCUGUCACCUGUGGCCUGUCACCUGUCACCUGUCACCUGUCACCUGUGGCCUAUGGCCUUGUGUGAACCAUCUUUCAUCUUAGGAAGAGAAAAAGGAAGAGGAAAACAUAGGAAGCACAGAUGAGGUAAGGGGAAACAGUCUGUUCUGAGUGAGGACCCAUUUGGUUAAUGAUGAUAUUAAUCUUUGGAUUUGAGCAACGAGUUUAACUAUUCUAUAGCUAUAAAGAUGGUUUCCCUGUGCUUUUAAGGAAGGCAUGGUGUCAUGUGGUGAGUGUCAUGUACUGGGCCUGAAAGGAGGCAUCUCAGAGACAGGGGAGCGAUGCUCUGGACCAUCCUCCAGUGCACAGUACAGCCCUGUGAUUGUUUAUAUUGACUGUCAAAUGGACAGGAUCUGGAAUCCUCCAGAAGACAGACUUUAGGUCCGGCCUGUGAGGGAUUUCCUAGAUCAGUUUAAUAGAACAGAAGGUUCUCUGUGAAUGUGAGUGGUACCGUUUCAACAACUGCGACCCAGAAUGAGAGAAGAUGCGAAAGCAUUGUGAGCACCGGAGUUCAUCACUCUCUACUUCCUGCCUGGGUACACAGUGUAACCAGUGUGCUCAUGUUCCUGUCCCCAUGUCCCCUCCACGGUGACCGUGUGCUUUCUAACUGUGAGACAAAGGAAACCUUCCCUUCCUUGUCUUCGUCAGCUAUUUUCUUACACCAAUGAGAAAAAUAACUAAUGCAAUU